rnacentral:rRNA from 1 species
UACGCAGGGCGCAAGCGUUAUCCGGAAUUAUUGGGCGUAAAGAGCUCGUAGGCGGUUUGUCGCGUCUGCCGUGAAAGUCCGGGGCUCAACUCCGGAUCUGCGGUGGGUACGGGCAGACUAGAGUGAUGUAGGGGAGACUGGAAUUCCUGGUGUAGCGGUGAAAUGCGCAGAUAUCAGGAGGAACACCGAUGGCGAAGGCAGGUCUCUGGGCAUUAACUGACGCUGAGGAGCGAAAGCGUGGGGAGCGAACAGG